rnacentral:rRNA from 1 species
UACGUAGGGUGCAAGCGUUGUCCGGAAUUAUUGGGCGUAAAGAGCUCGUAGGCGGUCCGUCGCGUCGGCUGUGAAAUCCCGGAGCUCAACUCCGGGUCUGCAGUCGAUACGGGCAAACUGGAGUACUGCAGGGGAGACUGGAAUUCCUGGUGUAGCGGUGAAAUGCGCAGAUAUCAGGAAGAACACCCGUGGCUAAGGCGGCUCUCUAGUACGGUACUGACGCUGAGACGCGAAAGCGUGGGGAGCGAACAGG